UCUUCCGUAGUAUAGUGGUCAGUAUGUGAGCUUGUCAAACCAACAACGCUCGAGACCCGGGUUCAAUUCCCGGCGGGAGAG